rnacentral:lncRNA from 1 species
UCUAACUAUGCCUCUGGGAACAAAAUAAAGCUUCCACCCCUUCUUUUAAGGGAUUGAUUAAACUAUUGGAGCGCACACAGUACUUGAUCAAGAGAUGCAGAGAGAUUCUCCGGCUGGAUCCAUGGAAUUUAACCAACAUGUAGAAAUCUGGAGGGGAGCUAACUCCAGGAAGAAGACAAAUGGAUGACUCAGGGGUUGCUUGCCUGAAUUACAAACAAGAUAGAAAUGUGCAUGCAAUCUUGGGAGUUCAGGAGAACCAAAGAUUCCACUGGCAGAAAGAAUUGAAAGACUGUAAUACCAGUGACCACCAAAAUGAGAACAGUUUUGGCGGCUUCUCCUUUGGGAAUGAGAAC